GGGCAGAUUAAGUUAUUCCUCAUUGGUGGCAGCAAUGAUUUGGAGUUGGCCUUUAUGUCUUGUCAUUUGAUAAUAUCUGUAAAUGGAUUAAUGGAUUUUCAAGAUCUCUGUGAGUGCCAGGUACUGUCAAAAAGCCCGCCCUUUGUGGAGCUCAUUUCCUAGCGAGAGAGCCAUACUGAAAUCAAGAAUCACGAGCCCCGGAGUCAGGAGAGAGUGUUUCGUUCACUUACCCACCAUAAAUCCCACCAGGAAAGAUGCCAGCGCAGCAGCCAAGCACAUCCAAAGGUACAGACGGC